UACGUAGGGUGCGAGCGUUGUCCGGAAUUAUUGGGCGUAAAGGGCUCGUAGGCGGUUUGUCGCGUCGGGAGUGAAAACCUUGGGCUUAACUCAGGGCUUGCUUUCGAUACGGGCAGACUAGAGGUAUGCAGGGGAGAACGGAAUUCCUGGUGUAGCGGUGAAAUGCGCAGAUAUCAGGAGGAACACCGGUGGCGAAGGCGGCAUCCUGGACCGGUAUUGACGCUGAGGCGCGAAAGCUAGGGGAGCAAACGGG
rnacentral:rRNA from 1 species